rnacentral:rRNA from 1 species
AGGAUGAACGCUGGCGGCGUGCCUAACACAUGCAAGUCGAACGUCCUUCUUCUUCGGAAGAAGGGAGUGGCGGACGGGUGAGUACCACGUGGGUUAUCUACCGUGAGGUGAGGAAUACCGGCGAGAAAUCGCCGACAAGACCGCAUAGGCUCGAUGCAAGUCGAGCAAAGCUCGCUCGCAAGAGGGAGCGCCACACGAGGAGCCUGCGCCCGAUUAGCUGGCUGGUGGAGUAAUGGUUCACCAGGGCGACGAUCGGUAGCUGGUCUGAGAGGACGAUCAGCCACACUGGGAUUGAGAACGGCCCAGACUCCUACGGGGGGCAGCAGUGAGGAAUUUUCGUCAAUGGGGGCAACCCUGAACGAGCAACGCCGCGUGCAGGAAGAAGGUUUUCGGAUCGUAAACUGCUUUUUCUCGGGGAAGAGAACGGACGGUACCCGAGGAAGAAGCCCCGGCUAACUACGCGCCAGCAGCCGCGGUAA